GAGUAACGUUAGAUACUCGUAAAUUAGAAUUUUAAAUUCAUUCGUAAAGAUGCAGGGGUCUUAAAUAUUUUUUUAAAUCAAAUCAUGUGAUUUGGGGUCAGUCAAAGCGAGAGAAUCCAAUGGAAAAGAGAUGCUAACAACGACAAUAACAAUGCUGAGAUGGGUUCUUCUUCCAAAUGGGAAUCUCUCUUUUCAAACCCUUGUUCUUGAUAUCCACCGUUUCUUUGGUUUGUCGAUCUUCGGGACGCGUGUGUUUCGAUCAUUUGUCCGGCGAAGAUGGUGACAACACCCUCCAUUUUACCAUUCUCAACUGCGAUUGCUGUCGGAGGCUGGUUGGAUCCAAAGUUACCCAUUUCAAGAAGGCGUUUCUGAUGAAAUUUCUUCGUGGUGUCAUGGAUGUGUAUAGACGUGACGAUGAUGAUGAUGAUGAUGAUGAUGAUGAUGAUGAUGAAGAUGGUAUUAGGGUUACUUCGAUUACCAGAAUGGUGUUUCCUUCUGGGCCUCUUCAAUUGACUGAUCAUCACCUUCUUUACCUUGCGGAAAGGUCACCAGAGCUCAGAGAACUCUCCCUACCUUUUGGGAGAAAUAUUAAACAUGAAGGAUUGUCAAGGGCAAUCCGCUACUGGAACAGGAUGGAGGAGAUGUCAAUUGGUCCAGUUAUAUGCAAUAAUGACAUUUUUCGUAUCAUUGAAGCGAUAGGCAUAAACUGCAAGAAGCUAGAAGCCCUAGAAUUUUUAGGCUUGGUCUUAACUCAACAAUUGUCUCCUGAAAUUGCCAAGAGUCUAAAGGGACUGAAACUAUUGAGAUUAGAAAUGGUUCAUAUUUCAAAAGUUAGUCUGAAGAAUUUCCUAUCAAAAUGUAAAAAACUUCAGAAAGUAGAGAUCUGGCAUUGUCUUACUUUAGAAGGUAUGGAAUCUAAUUUCUUAGCAUCAUGUGAGAUAAAGAAGACAGAAAUGAAUGGUGUUACUAAAUGGUCCCUUAGCAGAGAUGCAGAACUGUAUGACAUGAAGAAUAUUCUGAAUUUACUUUGGCAGUGAAGUAAUUGACCGAGCUUAUGAAGAAUCAAACAUGAAAGGAAUGGAUCAUGGAUCGUUGAUAAAUCAGAAAGUUCAUAAAGUAUUUCUUGAUCAGGAAACUCUUUUCCUUAUGAUCUUCAUAGCAAGGAAUGGAUCAUGGAUCGUUGUCAUCUUCUAGCAGUUUCAGUCAAAGAAUUGUUAUGUGCGUGUCAUCUUAUUUGGAAUUAAUUUGUGGCUGCACUGCUAUGCUAUUGGGGCUGACUCCAUAGAUACGGAUAGGUUGUGGAAAAUUUGAAGAAGAGGUCGUAACAUUCACGUCCCCAUGACUGGUAGACCCAAGCAAUGGUUGAUAACAAGAACGCUGGUACUGGGAAAGGGAACAUGUAUAUCAAGAGAUCUCUGUUCAGGCCUUGUAUUUUUUCUUAUCCCAUCUCAGUCUCACCAGCAUUAUUCUCUUGUCGCUUCUCUCACCUUCAAUUCAUCUCUUCUUUCAACUGCUCUCCCUGCCAUUGCUGGUUUGAUCAGUAACUUAGUAUGAAAAGAAAUGUACAUGUUCUGUCUCUGUGGACGUUAGGACAAGUAGUCUUGAAGGAGGUAAGUUUUUUAUUCAGUGGAUUUUUUCCAUGCCAUUGCAAAUUCAUCCACAAUUGUUAAUGUCAAUGUUUUCAGGCUUCAUAACUCCGAAGAAGUGUCUUCAAAAUUUAGAAGGAUGCAUUUAUGAUGCAAUUUUUGUUUCAGUUGGACACUUGCUCACUCUGUUCAAAUUUCAUUCACUUUUCUGCAACUUGUAUCAAAAUCCGGUGCUUUGUUGGUGAAUUAGAAUUGGAGUUAAUUUUCAUGAUUUUGAAUUUCCAUGGAUUGACAAAAGUUUUGUUCAUCUCUUUGUGUCAGACUUGAAGCACAAAAUAUUUGCGUAUGAAAAGAAGAUUAAUUAGACUUGAAGCACAAAACUACCUCUAUUUGCCACCCUUCGGGUUUUAGGUAGCCAUCACGCUCAAAAUCUUUAGGGAUUCUCAUGGAGGAACCAAAUAGAGGAAGGAGAGGUGGGAUUAUCCUCAUCGUCACCCUUAUUGCUUGCCAUGUGUAUUUUGUUAGGUCAUCUCUAGUGAGAAGCUCUUUGAAACUGUUUUCCUAGCCCUGUUUUCUUGUUCUGUGAGCCCAGUUGUUGUAUAGUUUUUUGAUAAAUGUAUUUACUUCCUAUUCUUGUCCAGUUGAGGUACAAUUACUUGAGUGCAUAUUCAUGCAUGUGUAUGAGUUGUGCAUCUCUUUUUUCCUGUGCAUGAAGAACCUUAGCAUGAAUGUUGAAGCCAUUGACAGAACUGCAUUAGGAAAGUUAGGUCAGACAAUGCCCCAUAUCGUAAAAUAUAAUAAUAAUAGCAUUAUCCACAAUAUCUUCCCAUCAUUGGGACUGCAUUAUCUUCACUAUGUUUUUGAGUGUGCAAGUGUUGAGCUCAUCUUCUGUGAUGCACAGCAUUAUCCCAUUCAUCUACUCGUGUAUGAGGUCAGGAACAACUUUAUGGAUCCUUCUGCUUGAUUUAAGUCCAACGUUGAAACUAGUCAACAAAAAAUGUAAAAUUACUUAGGAAAAUCACAUUCCUUGCGCCAUGAGGUGAAAAUCAUGAACAGGGUAAAUUGUGAAUAGUCACAGCCCACAUGUCAGGACAUUAAAAUCACUGCCUAGCGUACGAAUUUACUUUCCUUGUUUGAAGGGCAUAAAUGUUGUCAAAUAUGAUUUUCUUCAUCAAUCAAAUAGCUGGCACAAAAAUAACAUUAGUUGCCUUCUUAGUUUCCGAAUUAUGCAGGAUGUGUUUUCUGACAAAGUGCAUUUACCUCAUUUGUCUUCUUUGUUUUAGAAAACUAUCCGACGUAUAACUCAAAUUUGGAACUAUAUGUUUGUAUCAAUUGACAAGAAGUUAGGAAUUGGGUAUUUUUGAAUGGGGUUCCGACACCUUUCUGAUGUGUUACCAAUCACAACUAGGAAGAUUCUAUAUUAUUGGGUUAUGUUUUUGUUUCAUUUUAAGAAAUAAAACAGUCAAUUUACGAGAAAUGGUCUUUUUUCUCACCCUUCUUCUGGGAUUUAGCAUUCCCUGAGCAAAAUGUACAGUUUUGUCUUUUGUCAUUAAUCAGUACUUGAACUACUAGUGACUCCAUGCAAAUAUGAAGUUAUCAUUGAAAGACAGAAUACAGCAUUCAGUUUCUGGAGUUCAAAGGAAUCCUUAACAACUAUAGUCAUAUGUAAUCAUAGUUAGAUGAGGUGGUCUUGAGGCUUUUCUAGGGUUUACAUUUACUUUUUUGAUAUCUAAUGAUUAGAGAGCUGUUUGUGAAUAUUGGCUUGUUUUCUUCAUUAUAUUUGACAGUGGUUUUUCUUUGUCUUUACUUGUAAGAGGACUCAUUGUCCUCAUCUUGUAACCUCACUUUCUUUAUCAAUAAAUUCUGUUUUUGUUGUUGAUAAAAAAAAAUAAAAUUACAUUAGAUGGUGUACUCCUGCUUCCUUUCUGUAAGGGUUGAAAAUGGUGGGAAUGUUCCUUUUUGGGUAGAUACUUGGCUUGGGGAUUCUUCUUUUGAUGUUUUGUUCCCACAUUUGUACCAUUUGGUCUGUUUUCAUAAUGCUCCAUCGCAUAUAUGGUGCUUUCCCAAUUGGCACCAAUUUCAUGAAAUUUCAAUUUUUUUAUAGAAAUAUUAAUGAUCGUGAAUUGAUUGAGUUGGCAACUUGGCAUCCUUGUUGAGCAUCCUUGAAGGUUUCUCCUUCAGACCUUAUGUCAAUGAUAAAUGGGUUUGGUCACUUAAUUCUUCGGGGAUCUUCUCAAGCAAAUAAUUUUUCAACAAGAUCAUUGGUAAUCACAAUGCUCGUCCUUUUCUCCAUCAUUCUAGGAUUUGAAACAAUUUGAAAUGAAGCAAAUUGUCAAGGUUUUUGUGUGGAGUUUGGCUCACAAGAGUCUUAUGACCAAUUACAUAUUUCAAAAAAGAAGACCCAAUUGCGAUCUUCGCCCUCAAUGGUGUAUUGUAUGUAGCAGGGAUGGAAAUCAUUGGAUCCCUUGUUUUUGCAUUGUCUUUCGGCCUUGUUUAUAUGGCACUGGUUAUUCCAAGUGGCGGAUAUGUGUUGGGUGGCUUCAUCUUCUUGUUCUCAAUUGCUUUUGAUAGACUUUAGAGCUUUUGGUACCAAAUAAGUAGCAUAGACAUGGACACGGGACAUGAUACGGACACGGAUGCGCGACACAUCAAUUUUCAAAAAGUGCAGGACAGGACACACUUGGGACAAGUUAAAAUUUUAUAUUUUUACAAAUUUAUUGUAUGUCAUAUAUGUAAGUUAAUACAAAUUACAUUAAAAAGCUGUAUAUUUCAUAACUUAAACAUCAAGAUAUCAUUCACUUAACAAUUACAUUCUAAGUAAUGCAAAACAAUUAUAGAAUAUUGUAUGCACAUGAUGUAUUAAGAUUAUAAAUGUUUCAAAACAUAUUUACAGUUCAUAAAUUGUGUUUAAAAGUAUGCAGAAUAUUGUUAUUAUUAAGAGAUUCAUCAUAUAAGAUGUGCUCGAAGGAUUGAAGUAGUGUCGCCAAAGUGUUCGUGAAGUGUCAGUAAAAUGUCCAGUAUUAUGAAUUUGAUGUUUUAACUAGGACACAUUGAAGGAGUGUUGGACACGCUUUUAGGAGUGUCCGAAGAGUGUUGGUGUCGAACACGAGGUAUCGGACAUGACAUGCUUUCUCUACAGAAGUUCCCGUGCUUCUUAGGGUACCAACAUGAAAACUUGGCUUUGUGGAAUUGUCUUUUGUUCAUGGGUAUUUGGUUGGAGUGCAAUAUGCUAGAAUCUUUGAGGACAAAUUGAAGGACAUUGAUUCUCUUUGGGAUAGAGUGUUUUUUAUCCUCAUUUGGGGCUUUGCUUUCUUUUCCUUUAAAGGGGAUUCAAUUAUUUUAGUUUUUUUAGAAUCAGUGGGCAUUAUGUCAUUUGUAGUCUAUAACCUUGAUGAGUUUUGCUCUUUUUAUUUAUUUUUAUCUUUUUUUGGUGGACUUCUUGUUUCCCACUUUUUUGUAAUUUUGUUUAUUUAUGCUUUUUAUUAUAUUAUUUUUGUUUCUGAUAAAAAAAAGAUCCUGUAAUAGUCAUUUUGAUAAACACUCCCCAUUUGAUUUACUGAAGUUAGUUCCUGACAAAAAUAUUCGUGUUUUAUUGAGUUACCUCACUUUUAACUUACAACUAGUUGCAAGGAAAAUUUUUCUAGGAACACUCUCCAUUAGUUUAAAGGGAAUUUAAUUCUUGUCACAAAAGUAGUGCUUUAGUGAGUGACCUAAGACCUUAGUUUCAACUUAUUGCUAAUGAUACGAUAUGCUUCAAAGAAAUCUUUUCCAGGUACAUUGAGUGUUCUGUUAAUGUAAGAAAGUUUUUGUUAGAUUGAGUGGGAGAUUUUCUACUACCUUUGUUAAGGACAUAGAGAAGCACAUGUACAAUACUAGUUUCUUGUUGAUAUUCUUCCUUUCUUUUUUAGAAAGUGAAAUUUUAUUGCAAUGGUUGGGUUAAGAAUUUUUGUAGACCAUAUUUUGAUCAUGCAUAUCUAGGUGUUACAUGAUUGGCCCUUUAAUCUUAUUGUGUCUUAAAUGCUUCUGGUGUCUGGAACUGUCCACUUGCUUGUAAUAUUUCGUCAAUAAAUUCUUGUAGAAUUCAAUUACCGUCCAUCUUCAUCUAAUAAUUUUGAUGUGUUAGCAUCGUGUAAUUCAAAAAAGGUGGAGAAAACAAAUGCGGUCGAGUGUAAGGAAUAGGAGAAGGUGUAUUCCGAAGGUUUGCACAACCUGGGGGAUGUGAAUGAAAGGAAAAUGAUGAGCACCCCUUCAAGGGAGGAGACUUUAGAUGGGCUUGUCCUUUCUCAAAGUGUGGCUUCUAAAGAUGUGUGUUCUACUCCUAGAGAAAAGGAAAUCAAGGAUGAACUAAAAGAAAUAUGGAUUGCAUUCUUUGUUCUAGAGAUGAGACCAAGAGGAAGCUCGACAAGAAGAUUCUUAAUCUAAAGCUUGCAUGGGCAAAAUCCUUUGCUAAAUUGUCUACCAAUCCUGAGAACUUUAUUGUGAAAUUGCAAGAAAAUGUGUGAUAGUGGUUUUCUUUCUUUUUAUGUUUUGUUUUUGUGUCUAGCUUCUCGGGUUGUGAGAAGUGUGUUUUGUGCCCAUUCUUUUGGGUUGUGAGUGGCUUGUUUCUUGGUGGUUUGGGUUUGGUGUCUCGUGUUAAUUGAGUGUCCUUUGUGCCUAUUCCUCUCGGGUUGUGAGGGGCUUUCCUUUCUAGGUUAGAUCCUUUGUGUGUGCCUCUGUAGCAAGGUGGCCUCUUGGUAGUGUUUUGAGUUCCGUUGUAUAUUCUUCUUUUUUGGGUACUUUCUUUUUUGGUAGUAAAAGCUUACUAAACAAAGGGUUGUGGCUGCUCAUUGCAAAGUACAAUCCUAUCAUUAAUAAGUACAAAUCUAUUUGCAACUGGCUUGAUUAGAACCAUGGGGCGCCAAAGAGGUUGACCUUUGAAAUUGACCCAUGUUCUGUAUUCUCAUUUGUAGCCAUUGUUCCUUGGGUUGCUUAGUGCUCUCAAGAAGUUGAGGCUUUGGCCUAGAAAAUGGAUCCCAAUUAAAAAGAGGGCGGCAAGUAGAAGAGCAGGAGAAGGUGGCGAAGCAAAAAAGUGAAACAAAUUGCAUCACUUGUGGCAGAUUCCAUGAAUGAAAGGAAAAAAGCUUUUAGAGUACCAAAACGUGAAAGAAUCGUCAAUGCAGGAAAGCUUACAUGUGAACUGGGUCACAAAGUAAAGCUAGUGUUUCAAUUCUGGCGAACUCAUACCCAGUACACAUUCUUGGUCCUCCUCGAAUGCCACAAAGCAGUAAGGGGCUGGUGGUUGCUGCUCAAAGCGUGUUGGAUUGAUCUUUGAUGGAUUUGGGAAAAUCGUCUCAUCCAUGCUUCAAAAAGGAUACAAGUGCUCCCCUUAUUCACUUGUGAUCUUCGCCACUCAACUCCAGUAUAUUUUUCUCACCACAGACUCGCCUCAUUGAUGUUGGUUGGAAAACGUCUUGCUGUCACACGUGUAUACAAAUUUGUUUGCAGCUUGUCCAUGGAGAAAAACUAUAGGAGUUCCAGAGAGGCUGAGUUUGGAAUUGGUACUGUACUUUCUUAUUCUUUCAUGGAACCAUGCCUCACCCUUGUUUGCUCGCAUGGCAUGUAGAAGGCUGAGGCUACGGCUUAUGAUGGGUAAUCCCAUGGAACCUGGUGGGAGCUUGUUGGAAGUUUUCUUGGUUAGGAAGAGGAAGAUAGGAGUAAGUAAAAGUAGCAAACUCAGAUAGUUAACAAAUUCCAUGGCUCGUGGGGAGAGAGAGUGGUAUAUUGGUUUUGAAACUUUAAGGUGGUGGAAGACUAUACAUAUAUGGGCGAUUUUGAGUUUGACAAAUUGAGGAACACUGCUGGAAGCUUGUGACAUACAUGAACUGUUUUAUGGAGAAUGUGUACACCUACAAUUUGAUAUCUCCUUUAAUCUUCCAGCAAUUCUUUUCGUUUGGACCCGUUUGCAUAGUCUACAGAAUGAGUGUCUGGUAUUAUCAGCUGCUUUGACGGAAUCAGGAAACUCAAACUAAAGCUUCUUUCAAAGCCGCCUUGACAGACAUUGAAGCGAUAAGAUGGUUGAGGUGCGAUGGGGGCUUGGCUCUUUUUUAUUGUUCUUCUUGUUACUGCUGAUAUGUUCUUUGAUGUUGCUGGUGGUGUAGGGUUGCUGCUUUGCUGGCUAGGGAGGUCUUGCUUUCAUAGCCUUAAGUUAUAACUUAUAAGGCUGUGUUGUUGCUUUUUAAGGCUGAGGGUUGUUCUUGAUUUGGGAGUUUUGGAGAAGUUUUUCUGUUACUCUUUUGAGUUGUGUGAGAAUGAGUUCUGCUUUUGUUCUUUCUCUCUGUGUGCGCGUGUGUGUGUGUGUGUGUGUUUUUCGGUUUAGCUUUGAUUCUUUCUGCACUUCCCUCUACUUUAUUGAUGUAUUUCAUUUCUUGAUUUAUAUCAAUAAAGUGAUUUUUUUUCA